GGGCGAUUGGCGCAGUUGGUAGCGCAUCACAUCGACAUUGUGGGGGUCGUGGGUUCAAGUCCCGCAUCGCCCACCA
rnacentral:tRNA from 1 species